rnacentral:rRNA from 1 species
AUUGAACGCUGGCGGCAGGCCUAACACAUGCAAGUCGAACGGUAACAGGAAGCAGCUUGCUGCUUUGCUGACGAGUGGCGGACGGGUGAGUAAUGUCUGGGAAACUGCCCGAUGGAGGGGGAUAACUACUGGAAACGGUAGCUAAUACCGCAUAACGUCGCAAGACCAAAGAGGGGGACCUUAGGGCCUCUUGCCAUCGGAUGUGCCCAGAUGGGAUUAGCUAGUAGGUGGGGUAACGGCUCACCUAGGCGACGAUCCCUAGCUGGUCUGAGAGGAUGACCAGCGAAACUGGAAAUGAGACACGGUCCCGACUUCUACGGAGGGCAGCAGGGGGGAAUAUGGCACAAUGGGCGGAAGCCUGAUGCAGCCAGGCCGCGGGUAUGAAGAAGGCCUUCGGGUUGUAAAGUACUUUCAGCGGGGAGGAAGGAAGAAAAGUUAAUACCUUUGGUUUGUGACGUUACCCGCAGAAAAAGCACCGGCUAACUCCGUG